rnacentral:rRNA from 1 species
GCUACGGGUGGCAGCAGGAGGGAAUGUUGCGCAAUGGGCGAAAGCCUGACGCAGCAACGCCGCGUGAAAGAGACGGACUUAGGGGUGGAAAGGUCUGUGAGUGGGGACGAAAAAUGACGGUACCCACAGAGGAAGCACCGGCCAACUCCGUGCCAGCAGCCGCGGUAAUACGGAGGGGGCAAGCGUUGUCCGGAAUCAUUGGGCGUAAAGAGUUCGUAGGCGGCAUGGAAAGUCAGGUGUUAAAGGCGCAGGCUCAACCUGUGUAUGGCACUUGAUACUUGCAAGCUGGACUGCGGUAGAGGUAACGGGAAUUCCUGGUGUAGCGGUUACAUGCUUAGAUAUCAGGAGGAACAUCGGUGGCGUACGCGCUUUACUGGGCCGUAAUUGCCGCUGAGGAACGAAAGCCCGGGUAGCAACUGGGAUUAGAUACCCGAGUAGUC